GAUUAAGUUAUUAAGGGCGCACGGUGGAUGCCUUGGCACUAGAAGCCGAUGAAGGACGUUACUAACGACGAUAUGCUUUGGGGAGCUGUAAGUAAGCUUUGAUCCAGAGAUUUCCGAAUGGGGAAACCCAGCAUGAGUUAUGUCAUGUUAUCGAUAUGUGAAUACAUAGCAUAUCAGAAGGCACACCCGGAGAACUGAAACAUCUUAGUACCCGGAGGAAGAGAAAGAAAAUUCGAUUCCCUUAGUAGCGGCGAGCGAAACGGGAAGAGCCCAAACUAACAAGCUUGCUUGUUGGGGUUGUAGGACACUCUAUACGGAGUUACAAAGGACGACAUUAGACGAAUCAACUGGAAAGAUGAAUCAAAGAAGGUAAUAAUCCUGUAGUCGAAAAUGUUGUCUCUCUUGAGUGGAUCCUGAGUACGACGGAGCACGUGAAAUUCCGUCGGAAUCUGGGAGGACCAUCUCCUAAGGCUAAAUACUCUCUAGUGACCGAUAGUGAACCAGUACCGUGAGGGAAAGGUGAAAAGAACCCCGGAAGGGGAGUGAAAUAGAACCUGAAACCGUGUGCUUACAAGUAGUCAGAGCCCGUUAAUGGGUGAUGGCGUGCCUUUUGUAGAAUGAACCGGCGAGUUACGAUUUGAUGCAAGGUUAAGCAGUAAAUGUGGAGCCGUAGCGAAAGCGAGUCUGAAUAGGGCGUUUAGUAUUUGGUCGUAGACCCGAAACCAGGUGAUCUACCCUUGGUCAGGUUGAAGUUCAGGUAACACUGAAUGGAGGACCGAACCGACUUACGUUGAAAAGUGAGCGGAUGAACUGAGGGUAGCGGAGAAAUUCCAAUCGAACCUGGAGAUAGCUGGUUCUCUCCGAAAUAGCUUUAGGGCUAGCCUCAAGUGAUGAUUAUUGGAGGUAGAGCACUGUUUGGACGAGGGGCCCCUCUCGGGUUACCGAAUUCAGACAAACUCCGAAUGCCAAUUAAUUUAACUUGGGAGUCAGAACAUGGGUGAUAAGGUCCGUGUUCGAAAGGGAAACAGCCCAGACCACCAGCUAAGGUCCCAAAAUAUAUGUUAAGUGGAAAAGGAUGUGGCGUUGCCCAGACAACUAGGAUGUUGGCUUAGAAGCAGCCAUCAUUUAAAGAGUGCGUAAUAGCUCACUAGUCGAGUGACACUGCGCCGAAAAUGUACCGGGGCUAAACAUAUUACCGAAGCUGUGGAUUGUCCUUUGGACAAUGGUAGGAGAGCGUUCUAAGGGCGUUGAAGCAUGAUCGCAAGGACAUGUGGAGCGCUUAGAAGUGAGAAUGCCGGUGUGAGUAGCGAAAGACGGGUGAGAAUCCCGUCCACCGAUUGACUAAGGUUUCCAGAGGAAGGCUCGUCCGCUCUGGGUUAGUCGGGUCCUAAGCUGAGGCCGACAGGCGUAGGCGAUGGAUAACAGGUUGAUAUUCCUGUACCACCUAUAAUCGUUUUAAUCGAUGGGGGGGACGCAGUAGGAUAGGCGAAGCGUGCGAUUGGAUUGCACGUCUAAGCAGUAAGGCUGAGUAUUAGGCAAAUCCGGUACUCGUUAAGGCUGAGCUGUGAUGGGGAGAAGACAUUGUGUCUUCGAGUCGUUGAUUUCACACUGCCGAGAAAAGCCUCUAGAUAGAAAAUAGGUGCCCGUACCGCAAACCGACACAGGUAGUCAAGAUGAGAAUUCUAAGGUGAGCGAGCGAACUCUCGUUAAGGAACUCGGCAAAAUGACCCCGUAACUUCGGGAGAAGGGGUGCUCUUUAGGGUUAACGCCCAGAAGAGCCGCAGUGAAUAGGCCCAAGCGACUGUUUAUCAAAAACACAGGUCUCUGCUAAACCGUAAGGUGAUGUAUAGGGGCUGACGCCUGCCCGGUGCUGGAAGGUUAAGAGGAGUGGUUAGCUUCUGCGAAGCUACGAAUCGAAGCCCCAGUAAACGGCGGCCGUAACUAUAACGGUCCUAAGGUAGCGAAAUUCCUUGUCGGGUAAGUUCCGACCCGCACGAAAGGCGUAACGAUUUGGGCACUGUCUCAACGAGAGACUCGGUGAAAUCAUAGUACCUGUGAAGAUGCAGGUUACCCGCGACAGGACGGAAAGACCCCGUGGAGCUUUACUGUAGCCUGAUAUUGAAAUUCGGCACAGCUUGUACAGGAUAGGUAGGAGCCUUUGAAACGUGAGCGCUAGCUUACGUGGAGGCGCUGGUGGGAUACUACCCUAGCUGUGUUGGCUUUCUAACCCGCACCACUUAUCGUGGUGGGAGACAGUGUCAGGCGGGCAGUUUGACUGGGGCGGUCGCCUCCUAAAAGGUAACGGAGGCGCUCAAAGGUUCCCUCAGAAUGGUUGGAAAUCAUUCAUAGAGUGUAAAGGCAUAAGGGAGCUUGACUGCGAGACCUACAAGUCGAGCAGGGUCGAAAGACGGACUUAGUGAUCCGGUGGUUCCGCAUGGAAGGGCCAUCGCUCAACGGAUAAAAGCUACCCCGGGGAUAACAGGCUUAUCUCCCCAAGAGUUCACAUCGACGGGGAGGUUUGGCACCUCGAUGUCGGCUCAUCGCAUCCUGGGGCUGUAGUCGGUCCCAAGGGUUGGGCUGUUCGCCCAUUAAAGCGGUACGCGAGCUGGGUUCAGAACGUCGUGAGACAGUUCGGUCCCUAUCCGUCGUGGGCGUAGGAAAUUUGAGAGGAGCUGUCCUUAGUACGAGAGGACCGGGAUGGACAUACCUCUGGUGUACCAGUUGUCGUGCCAACGGCAUAGCUGGGUAGCUAUGUGUGGACGGGAUAAGUGCUGAAAGCAUCUAAGCAUGAAGCCCCCCUCAAGAUGAGAUUUCCCAACUUCGGUUAUAAGAUCCCUCAAAGAUGAUGAGGUUAAUAGGUUCGAGGUGGAAGCAUGGUGACAUGUGGAGCUGACGAAUACUAAUCGAUCGAAGACUUAAUCAA
rnacentral:rRNA from 1 species